UUUGUGCUACUGUUUUUCUACCAUUACUAGUAUUUUUCAUUAAUGCUACUACUAUUAUCUAAAUUUAGAAACAUGACUUAUAUUUACAGAUUGCUUUCACUUAUAUGAUCCUUAUUUAAAAUUUAAUUUUGUUUUGAUAGUAACACUUAAUAUAAGAUGUACUUUCUCAACAAAUUUUUGUGUAUAUCUGGUGGUGUUGGCUAUGUAUAUGUGUGUAUAAUGUACAGCAGAUCUCUAGAACUUACUCAUCUUGGUUGACUGAAAUUUUAUGCUCACUGAUUUAUAAUUCCCCAUUUGCCCUCCACCAGCCCUGGCAACCAUAAUUCCACUUUUUGAUUCUAUGCAUCUGCUAUAUUGGAUACCUCACAGAAGUGGAAUCAUGAAGUAUUUAUCUUUCUAGGACUGGUUUAUUUCACUUAGCAUAAUAGCCUUAAUGUUCAC